AGCGAACGCUGGCGGCAGGCUUAACACAUGCGAGUCGAGCGGGCAUCCUUGUGGUGUCAGCGGCAGACGGGUGAGUAACGCGUGGGAGCGUGCCCUUCGGUUCGGAAUAACUCAGGGAAACUUGAGCUAAUACCGGAUACGUGCGAGAGCAGAAAGGUUUAUCUGCCGAAGGAUCGGCCCGCGUCUGAUUAGCUAGUUGGUGAGGUUAUGGCUCACCAAGGCGACGAUCAGUAGCUGGUCUGAGAGGAUGAUCAGCCACACUGGGACUGAGACACGGCCCAGACUCCUACGGGAGGCAGCAGUGGGGAAUAUUGGACAAUGGGGGCAACCCUGAUCCAGCCAUGCCGCGUGAGUGAUGACGGCCUUAGGGUUGUAAAGCUCUUUUCUCCGGGACGAUAAUGACGGUACCGGAGGAAUAAGCCCCGGCUAACUUCGUG
rnacentral:rRNA from 1 species